rnacentral:rRNA from 1 species
YACGAUUCCUACGGGAGGCAGCAGUGGGGAAUUUUCCGCAAUGGGCGAAAGCCUGACGGAGCAACGCCGCGUGAGGGACGAAGGCCUCUGGGCUGUAAACCUCUUUUCUCAAGGAAGAAGAUAUGACGGUACUUGAGGAAUAAGCCACGGCUAAUUCCGUGCCAGCAGCCGCGGUAAUACGGGAGUGGCAAGCGUUAUCCGGAAUUAUUGGGCGUAAAGCGUCCGCAGGCGGCUUUUCAAGUCUGCUGUUAAAACGUGGAGCUUAACUCCAUCAUGGCAGUGGAAACUGAAAGGCUUGAGUAUGGUAGGGGCAGAGGGAAUUUCCGGUGUAGCGGUGAAAUGCGUAGAUAUCGGAAAGAACACCAGUGGCGAAGGCGCUCUGCUGGGCCAUUACUGACGCUCAUGGACGAAAGCCAGGGGAGCGAAAGGGAUUAGAUACCCCUGUAGUCCUGGCCGUAAACGAUGAACACUAGGUGUCGGGGGAAUCGACCCCUUCGGUGUCGUAGCUAACGCGUUAAGUGUUCCGCCUGGGGAGUACGCACGCAAGUGUGAAACUCAAAGGAAUUGACGGAAU